UCCCUGGUAGUAUAUCGGUUAGUACACGCGCCUGUCAUGCGACAACGCCGCGCGAAAGCUGGGUUCGACUCCCAGCCAGGGAG